rnacentral:rRNA from 1 species
GAUGAACGCUGGCGGCGUGCCUAAUACAUGCAAGUCGAGCGAACAGACGAGGAGCUUGCUCCUUUGACGUUAGCGGCGGACGGGUGAGUAACACGUGGAUAACCUACCUAUAAGACUGGGAUAACUUCGGGAAACCGGAGCUACUACCGGAUAACAUGUUGAACGGCAUGGAUCAACAGUGAAAGACGGUCUUGCUGUCACUUAUAGAUGGAUCCGCGCCGCAUUAGCUAGUUGGUAAGGUAACGGCUUACCAAGGCAACGAUGCGUAGCCGACCUGAGAGGGUGAUCGGCCACACUGGAACUGAGACACGGUCCAGACUCCUACGGGAGGCAGCAGUAGGGAAUCUUCCGCAAUGGGCGAAAGCCUGACGGAGCAACGCCGCGUGAGUGAAGAAGGUCUUCGGAUCGUAAAACUCUGUUAUUAGGGAAGAACAAAUGUGUAAGUAACUAUGCACGUCUUGACGGUACCUAAUCAGAAAGCCACGGCUAACUACGUG